UGUUUCUGAAUAUUAAUAUUAAAAAAAGGAAAAACGAAAUAAAAGCAAUCCAUGUGUCAUACAGCGCUAUUAGGGCUGCGGUGUCACAUGACAAGCAUGACGCGUCGCCAUGGAAACAAUAAGGCUAUAAAUUCUAAAAUAACGGUCGCCUAAAAAAACUCACGCCGGGGGCUCAGCUAGAAUAUUUUAAACUCACGUGCGAAAGGGUUAAUGACGCCAGAAGAGUCUUUCUGUAGCACCGCCAUUUUCUCACUUUAACGUUGUGAUGUUCUUGCUGGAGUUUCUCCUCAAAUACCUGCGUCGGUUAUCUUUCAAAUUUGUUUUGGCAGACAGUACAAACCAGCUCUUCAUCGUGUUAAUUGAGCCGUGGACCUUCAUCUUAGUCAGUUUAAGGAAUGGAUGUGGGCAUUCUCAUAAUUCCUGAUGGAGAUGAUGCCCUUGACUACUACGUGGUGCUGGAGGAACAGAUUGCCCUGAGAGAUGCCAUAGACCUCCCUCAUGCUGCCGCUCUACUAGUCGGGCUGAUUUUUGCGCUUAAUAUUGAUUAUCCCAAAAAACUACGCUACACAUUUGAGGUCAUUCAAAAGAUUUUCAUUGACCUUGGAGGUGAUCAGUGUUCUGGUGCAUGGACUGGUGCAUGGACUG